CCUUUCAAAAGCAACAGCCAAAGCAGAUGCAAGGGAGAUGCAUUGGUGCUCAUAAAUUCAAGGAGCUGAAAUGGCAACAGCUGUGGCAAUUUCAGGAUUUCAGCAGGUAAUCAAAAGAAUUGGCAGAGAGAAAACAAAGUAAGGAAAUCAAAUAUAAAUUCCCAGUGCUCCUAAUAUCUCUUGGAAAGAAAAUGGACACCUCUGUUAACAAAGUUAUGAUGAUUUCUACCUCGGUACACAUUUUCGAACUUCUCAGAGAGGAACCAGCUCACCUAGCGGUCCUUUGAGAGCAUUAGCACUCACACCCCAUACAACUAGAACUCAUGACACUGGCAAAUGGUGUUUCUAGAGUGCUUUGCAUUGCCCGACAUGUUCUCACCCUGUUUUCUCCCCAAUCCUUACAAUUCUCCAAAUGCAAGUGCAAACUGGGGUGCUGUCAAGCAGCCUGGUGCUUAAAGGGCAGAGCCAGGAUGGACCCAGAUUCUGGUUUCCACCAUGUGCCUGAUGGAUACCAUGCGGAUGUGGAGCAGGAAACACUGGGUGCAAAUCCCCACCAGGAACUGUUCAUCCUGAAAAAAACCUGCUGCACAUUGCCCUGGUCACCUCAACGAAAAAUGGGUCAAAAUCAAAGUUGAUGAUCAGUCAUAUGAUCUUCAGCAGCCCUGGAAGGGUGUGAGUUCUCGGCAUCCCAUGCAGGAGCUCUGAAUGUACAAGAGGUGCUGAGGAGGGAGCAUGCGCCGAAUACCACUGCCUUCUUUCUGUGUCCAAGCAAGUUAUGACUGGAAUGGAAAGUAUAGCCACCCGGGGCUGUCAGUACCCCUACCUACUCAAUUGCAGACAUGUUGAUACAGAACAUGAUCAUCGAAUUCCAGUGAAGCCACAGUGAUGGGAGUCCAGCAAGAGUAAAAGCAAGUAGAAGGAAGAAGCCCAGAAAAACCAAAGCGCCUAAGGCCCAUGAAAGCUGUAAUGACUCCUUACCAUGAAGAUGCUAAAGGUUAAGAUGCAAGAACACGAGUGUCAAGUUCUGGUUCCAGACUACAUGCUCGUGGCCACUACACUCUGCUGCUGCCUCAUAUUCUAUAUGCCUUGUACACUGUAACUCCACUGAAGUGCUGGUGGUGGUGGCGUGUGUGUGUGAGAGGGAGAGAGAGAACUGGGGCAUCGGGAGGCCCCUAGCCCUCACACCUACCAGCCCAGCCACUGUGCAGAAUGCAGGGAUGAGUUGUUUCAUUUCAGGUGUUCACUCUGCUUUUUGCAGAACAUAUUGUCCCUUGAAGGAUAUUAAUACAGGAAAUGAAUAAAGAGUGGCUUCAAAACAAA
rnacentral:lncRNA from 1 species